rnacentral:rRNA from 1 species
UACGUAGGGUGCAAGCGUUGUCCGGAAUUAUUGGGCGUAAAGAGCUCGUAGGCGGUUUGUCGCGUCGAAUGUGAAAACCCGGGGCUCAACCCCGGGCCUGCAUUCGAUACGGGCAGACUAGAGUUCGGUAGGGGAGUCUGGAAUUCCUGGUGUAGCGGUGAAAUGCGCAGAUAUCAGGAGGAACACCGGUGGCGAAGGCGGGUCUCUGGGCCGAUAUCGACGCUGAGGAGCGAAAGCGUGGGGAGCGAACAGG